rnacentral:rRNA from 1 species
UACGUAGGGGGCAAGCGUUGUCCGGAAUCAUUGGGCGUAAAGAGCGUGUAGGCGGCCUGGUAAGUCCGCUGUGAAAGCCCAGGGCUUAACCCUGGAAUUGCCUUUAAGACUGCAUCGCUAGAAUCGUGGAGAGGUGAGUGGAAUUCCGAGUGUAGAGGUGAAAUUCGUAGAUAUUCGGAAGAACACCAGUGGCGAAGGCGACUCACUGGACACGUAUUGACGCUGAGGUGCGAAAGCGUGGGGAGCAAACAGG